rnacentral:rRNA from 1 species
ACACGUAGGGGGCGAGCGUUGUCCGGAAUUACUGGGCGUAAAGAGCGCGUAGGUGGUUAGGUAAGUCAGGUGUGAAAGGCCAGGGCUCAACUCUGGGACUGCACUUGAAACUGUUUAACUUGAGAGUAGGAGAGGUAAGUGGAAUUCCUGGUGUAGCGGUGAAAUGCGUAGAUAUCAGGAGGAACACCAGUGGCGAAAGCGACUUACUGGCCUAGCUCUGACACUGAGGCGCGAAAGCGUGGGGAGCGAACAGGAUUAGAUACCCUGGUAGUCCACGCCGUAAACGAUGGGUACUAGGUGUAGGAGGUAUCGACCCCUUCUGUGCCGCAGCAAACGCAUUAAGUACCCCGCCUGGGGAGUACGGCCGCAAGGUUGAA